GGCCUGUGGCGUGGGGUGGGCCUGCGGCGUGGGGUGGGCCUGCUGUCCACAGCCAGAAAAACUAACUUAGUGGACACACAGUGAAAUUUUGAAACAGGAAGUUUUAGAGCUAGUUUCUAUCAUAGAGUUUAGCAAAUGCUAUUUUGCAAAAUAUUUUUCCAAUGUUUGUUUUGUUUUUCUAAUCUGAUAAUGCAUAUUUCACACAUUCUGGCCUUUAAGCAAUGGAAAUUAGAGAACUAAACUUAAUAUAGUUUGUGUUAAUGGAAAGAGCUUGAGAUUUGUUCUCAGAAAAUUUCAGUUGCAACUGCUUGUUCAGAUAGGUGAACUUCCAACGCAGUAACUAUAGGAAUAAGAAAAAAAGCUGUGUUUACUUUCACAGAGUUAAGAAGACAUGAGAAAAUGGAUGUUAAAAACCUUGUAAUUAAAAUGUAAAGUUACAUGCAAAGUUAAGCAUUUUCCAGGAAGAGGUGAUUUUCUAAGUUCUUGAAUGCCUCUCCCUUUUGUGAGGAGGCUGCGUCGUGGGCUGUUGGUGUCUUCGGCAGGCGAGACUCACUCUGUUGCCUGGACUGGAGUGCAGGGGCACAAUCUCAGCUCACUGCAGCCUCUGCCUCCUGGGUUCAAAUGAUUCUUCUGCCUCAUCUUCCUGAGUGGCUGGGACUACAGAUGCAUGCCACCAUACCUGGCUAAUUUGUGUAUUUUUAGUAGAGAUGGGGUUUCACGAUGUUGGCCGGGAUGGUCUUGAACUCCCAACCUCAGGUAAUCUGCCCGCCGCAGCCUCCCAAAGUGUUGGGAUUACAGGCAUGAGCCACCGCACCUGGCCAUGUUUAUGAAUACGACUAAGAACAUUUUGAAUUGCACCUGUGGCUCCACUGGUGUCCUGGGCAGGUGGCUCUGUGGUGUCCACACAGGUUGUCUGCUGUGUCUUCAUCUUCGCUGCAUGUGACUUUUUGGUUCCUGUGGCACGUGGAGUCCUGUAUGGGACAUUGGUUCUACAGUAGAUUUAUAAUAAGGAUGUACCUACUAAAAAAUACAAAAUAAAAAGAAUAGAAACAAACAUAGAAAUAAGUAUCACCUCACAAAAAUUUUGGAAAGUAGAAAAAGGAAGAUACAUUCACAGCUUUUCAGUAGCCGAUAUCCAGGCUGUCUUCAUAAGCAUGGAUAACGUGUCCCUCUCCUGCAUGGAUAGACACCGUUUUCUCACCUUAAGUGUUAGUGAUUGAAGGAUUCUUGAUGUGUUGACUUGGAGGAUGCAGUUGUUGAGCAGUAGUUUAUCUAAAGAUUGUAAGAAACUUUUGGAAACAUUUCAUGUCCUUGUUUCCCUUGGAAAACGUGGGUUGAAGAAAUCGCCGCUUGCCAAAAAUAAGCCGUGAAACGGAUUUCAGAGCAACUCUAGUUACAUGCUGGCGAGGAGCCACGGAAUACCAUUUACAUUUGAAAAUAGAGGGCUGUGAAGUUUUUAUAAGUAGUGAACCCCGUCAGAAUUGCACAUUUUGAUUAUGGCUCUAAAUUUUAUAUUAAAGAAAUAAAAAUUUUAUCGUAUUUUA